CCUACGGGAGGCAGCAGUGGGGAAUAUUGGACAAUGGGGGGAACCCUGAUCCAGCCAUGCCGCGUGUGUGAAGAAGGCCCUCGGGUUGUAAAGCACUUUCAGUGAGGAAGAACGCCUGGUGGUGAAUACCCAUCAGGAAAGACAUCACUCACAGAAGAAGCACCGGCUAACUCCGUGCCAGCAGCCGCGGUAAUACGGAGGGUGCGAGCGUUAAUCGGAAUUACUGGGCGUAAAGCGCGCGUAGGUGGCUUGAUAAGCCGGUUGUGAAAGCCCCGGGCUCAACCUGGGAACGGCAUCCGGAACUGUCAAGCUAGAGUGCAGGAGAGGAAGGUAGAAUUCCCGGUGUAGCGGUGAAAUGCGUAGAGAUCGGGAGGAAUACCAGUGGCGAAGGCGGCCUUCUGGACUGACACUGACACUGAGGUGCGAAAGCGUGGGUAGCAAACAGGAUUAGAUACCCUAGUAGUC
rnacentral:rRNA from 1 species